GAUCUCGUAGCUCAGUUGGUAGAGCAUCCCGAUUUUAUCGGGAGGGCCCUGGGUUCGAAAUCUAUCUUAUUCA
rnacentral:tRNA from 1 species